GAUGAACGCUAGCGGCAGGCCUAACACAUGCAAGUCGAGGGGUAACAGAAAAGCUUGCUUUUGCUGACGACCGGCGCACGGGUGCGAAACGCGUAUGCAACCUACCUCAUACUGGAGGAUAGNCCCUGGAAACGGGGAUUAAUACUCCAUAGUAUCACAAUUUCGCAUGUUAUUGUGAUUAAAGUUUUUCGAUAUGAGAUGGGCAUGCGUCCCAUUAGCUUGUUGGUGAGGUAACGGCUCACCAAGGCAACGAUGGGUAGGGGGCCUGAGAGGGUGGUCCCCCACACUGGUACUGAGACACGGACCAGACUCCUACGGGAGGCGGCAGUGAGGAAUAUUGGUCAAUGGAGGAAACUCUGAACCAGCCAUGCCGCGUGAAGGAUGACGGCCCUAUGGGUUGUAAACUUCUUUUAUAGAGGAAGAAACUUGUCUACGUGUAGACAACUGACGGUACUCUACGAAUAAGGAUCGGCUAACUCCGUG
rnacentral:rRNA from 1 species